UGUGGACGCCAGUCUGCAUGGAGCCGACCUUGAAAUACCACCCUUUAAUGUUUGAUGUUCUAACGUGGACCCGUAAUCCGGGUUGCGGACAGUGUCUGGUGGGUAGUUUGACUGGGGCGGUCUCCUCCUAAAGAGUAACGGAGGAGCACGAAGGUUGGCUAAUCCUGGUCGGACAUCAGGAGGUUAGUGCAAUGGCAUAAGCCAGCUUGACUGCGAGCGUGACGGCGCGAGCAGGUGCGAAAGCAGGUCAUAGUGAUCCGGUGGUUCUGAAUGGAAGGGCCAUCGCUCAACGGAUAAAAGGUACUCCGGGGAUAACAGGCUGAUACCGCCCAAGAGUUCAUAUCGACGGCGGUGUUUGGCACCUCGAUGUCGGCUCAUCACAUCCUGGGGCUGAAGUAGGUCCCAAGGGUAUGGCUGUUCGCCAUUUAAAGUGGUACGCGAGCUGGGUUUAGAACGUCGUGAGACAGUUCGGUCCCUAUCUGCCGUGGGCGCUGGAGAACUGAGGGGGGCUGCUCCUAGUACGAGAGGACCGGAGUGGACGCAUCACUGGUGUUCGGGUUGUCAUGCCAAUGGCACUGCCCGGUAGCUAAAUGCGGAAGAGAUAAGUGCUGAAAGCAUCUAAGCACGAAACUUGCCCCGA
rnacentral:rRNA from 1 species